rnacentral:rRNA from 1 species
UACAGAGGGUGCGAGCGUUGUUCGGAAUCACUGGGCGUAAAGGGUGCGUAGGCGGGUCUUUAAGUCAGGGGUGAAAUCCUGGAGCUCAACUCCAGAACUGCCUUUGAUACUGAAGAUCUUGAGUUCGGGAGAGGUGAGUGGAACUGCGAGUGUAGAGGUGAAAUUCGUAGAUAUUCGCAAGAACACCAGUGGCGAAGGCGGCUCACUGGCCCGAUACUGACGCUGAGGCACGAAAGCGUGGGGAGCAACAGG